rnacentral:lncRNA from 1 species
CCUGCAGGACACCGUCUGUCUUACGGCACGAAGCCCAGGGCCUCCGUAGGGCUCACAGGCGGCUUCUAGAGAAGAUGCCCGCCACAGGUGCUCUCUGCUCCAUCUCAGGUGACCACUGGCCAUCUCGGAAGAAACCUGGCAGGCGGAUCGGGGCUCAUUCCUUUCUUCUUGGUCCUUGGAGGGGCAGGGCAGUGAGAGACACAGCUCUACCCCCACUACCCAGCAGCUGUUGUCUCUCCCACUUCCAAUUCCUGGGUGUGAGGCCCACCUGAUCCUCCUUUCCCAAGGAGGCUGUGUGGCCCCAAAGGCCUCCCAGGUCAUGCCCUAGUCAGGCAUAGCAACUGUGUUGUUCCCUCC